UCCUGUUUCCCAUUCCGGCCCCUAGCGAGGCUCUUUGGAAGCGCAUGCACGCGUGCGCAGCUUUUCUCCGAGCCCUGUAAGGAAGGCCGGCAGGCAGGCUUUGGGCCUCCCCAGAGACGCUUAUAUCCAUCUUGACAGAUACUAAAAUGAUCGUCUGGGUCAAUACUGCCUUAAUGAGAACAUCUGUGCAUUCUCGCAAGGUAAAGUUUCCUUCCUUGUCAUUUUGGUGACUGAUAAUACUCCUGUAAAUGUAUUUGGUUUUUUGAAGCUCAGAGGGUAUUAAUAUGUUGGAGCACUAUGUAAACUUAAGUCAUAAACAGCAUUUAUUACUUUGGUAUAUCAAAAAAAAGAAUGUCAAGAUCAUUCAAAUCACACAUUAAAUUUGAGGUUGCUGUUAGACAUCUAAGUGAAGAGGUCCAGGAGGUAGUCAAAUAUGCAUGCACAUCUGGGAUUCAGGGGAGAGUCCAGGAUGCCCAAAUGGGAGUGGUCAGCCUAUAAAUGAGACUGAAUGAGAUCAUGACGUGUAAAUACAGAGAAGGAGCCUGAGAACUGAACCCUGGGGCCUUGUAAAUUCCAGGGGCUGGGUGGGGGGAUGAGGAAGAACCAGCAAGGUGAUGGAGAAGAAGCAGCCAUUUGGGGAGCAGGAAAGCUGAUAUCGUCUCCCAUUCACUGAUCAAUCCUUCUCAGGAAAGGCAGGUUUACAAAGGGCUUAAGACCGAGGGUAUUGGACUCAGUUGGAUCUGGAUUCAAAUCUCCAUCACAGUAAGUACAAAAUGAGUUUACACUUCAUAUGUGCCACUGGAACUAGUAUAGGACCUGGAGGGUAUUUGUUCAGUAAUCACUGAUAGUGCAUUAAUGUACACUGGGCAUAUAUGGAGUGGCAAGGGAGUUUAUGAGAAAGAAUAAAACAGAGGCCCUGGCCUCAGGGAGCUGAGUCCUGAGGGAAGGAGGAGUCCUAGAAGCGGAUGAUUGUCCAUGACAUCACAACAUGAUAAAUUCUUGAAUGAAAGUAUGAGCCAUGCACCGAGAGAACAGAGGAGGAGUGAUUAAUCCAGACUGCGAUGACCUGACUUAAAUGUGAUGCUUUCUUUUUUUUCUCAUUCACCUUUUACGUGCCAUUUUGCCUGUAAAAUUCAUGACUCUUCUGAGCACCACCAGUUAACCUACAUGACAGUUUAUGAGAAUGCUUUUCUUUAGGAAAAAAGAAAUGGGGGAAAAAUCCUCAGGAUAUAGACUACGGUCCUACAUUAAAAAAAAUGAAGUUAAGAAUUACCAUCUUGAAUGAAAUUGAAUCUAUAAUUGCCUCUUAGCCCAAAUUGACAGUAACUGCUAUGUUCUCCCACUUUUGACUGUUAGCAAAUCACUCCCCGGUGUGGUUCUCCCAUCACAGGCGUAACUGCCCAGCCUGUUACAUCUGGUGUGGGAGGCUUCAGUGAUCUUAAUCUUCUUCCUUGGGCGAUGAUUUACCUUCCAUUUUGGAGGCAGCUUAUUCAGAUAGUGAAGCCCCAAGAAUGUCAGCCUUUCACAUAUUGAACAACCAUACAUUUCUCAUGAAGAAGAUUUCUAGCAUCUUCUUGUGGUUUUUAUUUCUCCUUGUUUUCCUCUCUGCAUUUGUUCUGACUAGAGCUAAAAAUUUUAGAAAUAAAGUUUGCAGCUAAAGAUGGCCUUCAUGAAUUUACCAUAAAUUCUUGCACUGAAAAUUCCACAAAGGCAGAUUGCAAAGCUGCUUGUUAAGUCAGUGUUGAAGGCGGACUACCUUCAUUCUGCAGACUUAGAGCUCCUCCAGCUCUGCCUGACGAGGGGAUUUGGGAGCCAGAUGAACGUUUGGAUCAUUGUGUCCUCCAAUCCUAAAGUAACUGUACUAUAGUCUCUUUGAUGGCUGGGGUGGAUGACAGUGAAUGUAUCUGGGACAAGGCAGGAAAAGAGAUGAGGGCAGCAUGGGUAAGUGUUGAGCAUUGUUAGCUGGGACCCAAGGAGGACAUUCUCUUCAACCAGCCAGGAAUAUAUCCAGGAACCAGUGUUUGUUCUUCCCAAAACAAAAAGACUGUGAAGAAACAUUAAAAGAAAAUAAAAUAAGACAAUUGUGUAGCCCUGAUUCAAAAAUGAAGAAAACACUAGCCUUUUCUCUUAGAAAAGAUAGUUAAGGUUUAUUUCCUAUGAAGGGUAUAUAUUAUUUGAAGAAUAACUGCUCUUCAAAGUUGUCCCUGUACUUCAGCCUUUAACUAAAGGGACCAAGUCUCUUUUAAAGUAGGAAUCCCAACGAGACACUGAGUACAAUGGACUGAAUAUUUGUGUCCCCGCGCCCCAUUGCCAAAUUCAUAUGUCGAAAUCCUAACGCCCAAUGUGAUGGUAGCAGGAGCUGGGGCCUCUGGAAAGUGAUUCGGUCCUGAAGGUGGAGCCCUCAUGAAUGGGAUUAGUGCCCUUAUGAAAAGGCCUCCAGAGAGCAACCUCGUCUCUUCCACCAUGGGAGGACACAGCAAGAAGAUGGCCUUCUAAGAACGUAGAAGUUGGUCUUCACCAGGCACCAAAUCUUCUUGGACUUCCCAGCCUCCAUAACUGUGAGAAAUAAAUAUCUGUUGUUUAUAAUCCA